rnacentral:rRNA from 1 species
GACAGAGGGUGCGAACGUUGUUCGGAAUUACUGGGCGUAAAGCGCGUGUAGGCGGCAGCGCAAGUCGGGCGUGAAAUCCCACGGCUCAACCGUGGAAGUGCACUCGAAACUGCGCAGCUAGAGUCCUGGAGAGGAAGGUGGAAUGCUUGGUGUAGAGGUGAAAUUCGUAGAUAUCAAGCGGAACACCGGGUGGCGAAGGCGGCCUUACUGGACGAGUGACGUGCA